UACGCCUAAUUUGUGUAUAUCAU
rnacentral:snRNA from 1 species